rnacentral:rRNA from 1 species
GAUUCGGUUUCGGCCACUGUUAUUGUAAUCGCAGCCUUGAAUCAGA